rnacentral:rRNA from 1 species
AGCGGCGAAAGGGAGAGUAACGCGUGGAUACCUACCCCCAGGUUCGGGAUAGCUGCGGGAAACUGCAGGUAAUACCGAAUAAUAUCUCCGGAUCAAAGGUGUGAUUCCGCCUGGAGACGGAUCCGCGUCCUAUUAGCUUGUUGGUGGGGUAACGGCCUACCAAGGCUACGAUGGGUACCGGGCGUGAGAGCGUGACCCGGCUCACUGGGACUGAGACACUGCCCAGACACCUACGGGUGGCUGCAGUCGAGAAUCUUCGGCAAUGGACGAAAGUCUGACCGAGCGACGCCGCGUGCGGGAUGAAGGCCUUCGGGUUGUAAACCGCUGUCAGUUGGGAGGAAAUCACAUGGGGUUCUCUCCAUGUGUUGACCUAUCUUCAGAGGAAGGACGGGCUAAGUUCGUGCCAGCAGCCGCGGUAAGACGAACCGUCCAAACGUUAUUCGGA